rnacentral:tRNA from 1 species
UCCGGAAUAGCUCAGUGGGUAGAGCGGGCGGCUGUUAACCGCCAGGUCACAGAUUCGAGCCCUGUUUCCGAAGCCA